rnacentral:rRNA from 1 species
GACGAACGCUGGCGGCGUGCUUAACACAUGCAAGUCGAACGGAAAGGCCUGCUUUCCCUUGUGGAUUGCGGGUACUCGAGUGGCGAACGGGUGAGUAACACGUGAGUGAUCUGCCCCCAACUUGGGUAUAAGCCUGGGAAACUGGGUCUAAUUCCCGAUAGGACUGCAGGGUGGCGCCUGUGGUGGCAAACGAUUUUCUAGUGGUUGGGGAUGAGCUCGCGGCCUAUCAGCUUGUUGGUGGGGUAAUGGCCUACCAAGGCGGCGACGGGUAGCCGGCCUGGGAGGGUGGACGGCCACAUUGGGACGGAGAUACGGGCCAGACUCCUACGGGAGGAAGCAGUGGGGAAUAUGGCACAAUGGGCGGAAGCCUGAUGCAGCGACGCCGAGUGGGGGAUGACGGCCUUCGGGUUGUAAACUCCUUUCGACCGCGAGGAAGCCACCUGGUUGGAAGGGUGGUGACGGUAGUGGUAGAAGAAGCACCGGCUAACUACGUG